CCUAAGCUAAAUGUUUUUGAUUGGAGAAGCUUUGAAGAACUUCACCUUCCUUUCUUAAUGUUUUUCUUUCAAAGCCAAACACGACCUACAGUUGUACAGUCUCCUGCAGUGCUUUGAUGUUGUCACUAGGCCAUCCUAGUCAUUUCACUGUGCUCAAAACUUUCCUUUGAGGGACGUCCCAUCAUCACCAGACUGCUGCGAGUGUUGAAGAAUGCAAUGGAAAGUUCCUGGGCGAACAUCUGGUGAAGACAUCCUAAGAACACAUUUGAAAUGGAGAAAGCAACUGAGCGGGCACUUGAUUGUUACUGGAAAUUGGUGGAAGCCUUGCAAUGACCACCCGUGGCCUCAGAUGCUGACUUAGCCCACUCUGUCCCAGGACUGUGGCUUUUCCAGCUUGAUAAGAACAGGAGGGCUCCUAUGCGACCUGCUCUAUGAGGACAUUAUUUGGCUUAUCACGACGUCUACAAGCAGCUUUUGUGGAAGGUGAAGAAAGAACCAUGAGCAGAGACCUCCAGAGACCCUCGUGAGAUGCUGUGAAUUCUGCUGUCAGUCUUGGCUGCGCAUUGGGAUAUAUAUGCUGUAUUCUUAAGCAACUAAGAGAUGCCUUUUGCCUAAAUGAACCAACAUCCAGCAACUGAUGGAAGCAGAGGCAGAGAACCACAGAGGAGUGUUGGCCUGAGCUCCAAAGUCCAGUCGAAGAGAAGGAGAAGUGAGAACAAAGAGGUCAAGACCAUGAUGGGGACGCUCACUGAAACACCUGACCUGAACUAAUAGGAGUCCAUCAACUCAGGUCUGACAGUGAGGGAACCAGUACAGGACCAAACUAGGCCCUCUGAAUGUGGGUGACAGUUGAAUGACUGAGGCAGACUGCAGGGCCACUGGCAGUGAGGCCAGGAUUUAUUCCUACUGCUUGUUCUGGCUUUUUGAAACACAUUCUCUCUGGAGGGAUACCUUGCUUAGCCUAGACAUAGUGGGAACGGUCUUGGUCUUGUCUGAAAGCAAUGUGCUAGACUUUGUUAACUCCCCAUGGGACGCCUUAUCCUCUCUGAGGAGUGGAUGGGGGAUAGAAUGGGGGAUGAGAAGAGGGAGA